NNNNNNNNNNNNNNNNNNNNNNNNNNNNNNNNNNNNNNNNNNNNNNCGGCGGGGCUGCUCGUGGGUGCGGGUGCGUGGGCAGUGGGGGUGUGCACAGCGGCGGGGGCCGCGGGGUGCACACGCACGUGCAUCGCACGCCCCUGUGCGGGAUACAGGCGCUGGCUGCUGGCAGCCGUGCUGCACGCGUGUGCAGCCCCCGGCACGGCUUGCAGGGAGAGCCGGGGGUGGGGGCCGCAGGGGCAGCCGGGGCUGGCACGCCGUGGGAGAUGUGGCUGGCACACCCCACGCUGGCACACACGUGGCACGAGUGGUCGUGACACGGAGGGCGUCGUGAUAGCGGACAGGGGGACUGCAGAGCUGCAGCAGCGCGUGGGGACGAGCAGGGGUGCGGGACCUGCGUGGCCCGAGGCGUGCCGCGGUGUGGCCAAGCCCGGGCUGUGCACAGACCCCAGCGGUCCCUGGGUGACCGAGGGCAGCCUGGGUGCCCCCCGGGGCAGCACCCACCAGGCACACGGUGCUGCCUGCGGUGGUCACGGUGCCAGAGCCCCACAGCACAGUGCCCAGCAGGAUGCGGCACGGCCUCGCUGCCACGCUGCAGGAGCAGCACAGCUGGAAACGCAGCAGCCGCCCGGCUGGCAGCCUCUGCUGGCCGCAUCCUGCCCCGUGCUGGGUGCUGCCCUCGGCCCUGUGGGGUGCCCAGGGCUGCAGGAGCCCCUCGCAGCCGCUGUCCAGGGCCAGGCAGGAGCAGAAAGCUGGGAAAUGACCACCACAACCCCAGCUCAGCACCCACGGGAUCAGCACCAGCCCUCAUCCAACCCUGCUCUGUGCAGCUGGAUGUGUGGGGCUGUAUCCACACGAGACCUUCGUGCAAAGCAGCUCCCUGCCUCCCUGCCUCCCUCGCGCUCCCUCUCCCAGUUGUCCCCUGCAGCCUGCUGGUGCCUGACCCGGUGUCCCCAGACAGACGCUCAUCCCCUCGGGGCCGAUGCUGAGAGGAAGCAAAGCAGCUCCCCGGCUGCUCCCCGUAGCAGGGAGCGCGGCAGCGCUGGCUCAGACAUCACCGGAGGAUAUUCGUGGCCCGUCUCUGUAAAUACAGAUCAGUGCAGAGGCUGCAGCUUAGCAGAAGGGCGAUCCCGAGCCCGCGGCUCUCCGGGUCACGCUCUCUGCUUCCCGCCGGGUAUUUUGCUCCCGCAGCCGACUGGCUCUGCACGCUCGACGUGCUCCCAAAUUCCCGAGCGCAUCGCGUGGCACCAGCUAUUGCGCUGCAGGACGCGCCGGGUGCCAUCGCCCAACGGCUCUGCCUUGGCCCCGUGCCGGCGGCACAGCACCCGGCCCAGCUCCCAUCACCCGUCCUGGUGCUGCUGGGCCACGGGGCUCGUGCGUGCCGGGGGGGCCCGAGCUGCGGGAGCCGGAGGCACCCACUGUUACCAGGACAACUGGGUGCUGCCUCCGUAGCUGCUUGUUGCUGCUGCAUCCCUGCAAACCUCCCCCAGCCGCAGCGCGGGCUCCGCCGAGGGCUGUGCCUGCAGCCCCAACCGAGGCAAGCGGGUGCCCAGACCCCCCCCGUGCUCGGGAAGGGGCUGGAGCACCCCAAGGCAUGUGGACCACCUCCCCAGCUGGCCACGGAGCCCCCCACGUCCUCA
ensembl:lncRNA